rnacentral:rRNA from 1 species
CCUACGGGUGGCAGCAGUGGGGAAUAUUGGGCAAUGGGCGCAAGCCUGACCCAGCAAUGCCGCGUGAAGGAAGAAGGCUUUCGGGUUGUAAACCUCUUUGACAGGGGAAGAGCAGAAGACGGUACCCUGAAAACAAGCUUCGGCUAACGCCGUGCCAGCGGCCGCGGUAAUACGUAGGUGGCAGGCGUUGUACGGAAUUGCUGGGUGUAAAGGGCAGGUAGUCGGGAAGGCAAGUCAGAUGUGAAAUCUGUAGGCUCAACCUGCGAAUUGCAUUUGAAACUGGUUGUCUUGAGUAUUGGAGAGGCAGGCAGAAUUCCAGGUGUAGCGGUGAAAUGCGUAGAGAUAAGGAGGAACACCAGUGGCGAAGGCGGUCUGCUGGACAGCAACUGACGGUGAGGCGCGAAAGCGUGGGGAGCAAACAGGAUUAGAUACCCUAGUAGUC